rnacentral:rRNA from 1 species
GAUGAACGCUAGCUACAGGCUUAACACAUGCAAGUCGAGGGGCAGCAUGGUCUUAGCUUGCUAAGGCCGAUGGCGACCGGCGCACGGGUGAGUAACACGUAUCCAACCUGCCGUCUACUCUUGGACAGCCUUCUGAAAGGAAGAUUAAUACAAGAUGGCAUCAUGAGUUCACAUGUUCACAUGAUUAAAGGUAUUCCGGUAGACGAUGGGGAUGCGUUCCAUUAGAUAGUAGGCGGGGUAACGGCCCACCUAGUCUUCGAUGGAUAGGGGUUCUGAGAGGAAGGUCCCCCACAUUGGAACUGAGACACGGUCCAAACUCCUACGGGAGGCAGCAGUGAGGAAUAUUGGUCCAAUGGGCGAGAGCCUGAACCAGCCAAGUAGCGUGCAGGAUGACGGCCCUAUGGGUUGUAAACUG